CAGCAGCCACGGUAAUACGUAGGUCCCGAGCGUUGUCCGGAUUUAUUGGGCGUAAAGGGAGCGCAGGCGGUUUAGUAAGUCUGAAGUUAAAGGCAUUGGCUCAACCAAUGUAUGCUUUGGAAACUGUUAGGCUUGAGUGCAGAAGGGGAGAGUGGAAUUCCAUGUGUAGCGGUGAAAUGCGUAGAUAUAUGGAGGAACACCGGUGGCGAAAGCGGCUCUCUGGUCUGUCACUGACGCUGAGGCUCGAAAGCGUGGGUAGCGAACAGGAUUAGAUACCCGAGUAGUCCCUGUCUCUUAUACA
rnacentral:rRNA from 1 species